UCUUCAGGCGCCUGUCUUUGUAGGACCUGGACUCCAUCCUCCCUUUCCUGCUGCUCUGUUGCCUGAUGUGAAGAUGAAGGCCAAGGAGGACACCAGGGCAGGCCGGGGAGAGGCUUGUGCUGCUGUGAAGUUGGCUUCUGGCCAGGACCUGCCUGCCUCAGUGAAUUCCCUUAGAGCCUUGAUGGGUGCGGGACGCAUCCCUCCAAUGGUGACUUUGGCCCUGGAACAUCGUGGGUGGCUUCUUUCUAAGAGCAGUGCGCACGUCAGGGAGGGCGUGGAAGGCGGGCCGGGGCGCUGGACACCCGCUUUCGAGAUGCUGCCCUUGGAGAGGAAAGGGAGAUGCUGGAUUUCUCAGGAACUCGUUAAGAAAAUACAUUUUUUUCUUGCAUUUUAAUAAAGACUUCUUGGGGAAGGGGAAAGAACUCUUGAAUAUCAUCUUUUUUCCCCCGGGGUUUUGACCACAGCACUAACCCAUUAGGAGAACUGGAAGGCUGUUCCAGGGUGCUGCCUCCUGCGUGGUUGGGGGCAGGGGUGUCUUUCCUGCUCCACUGUCUAUCCGCAGCCCUGCGCUGCCUGGGCACAGUGCCGAGAAGUCUUCCUGUGCUGCGGUUUAAUGGUGAUUUAACGUUGCAUGCUGAAUUUUCGGGUCGUGUUCGAAAAAUAUAUUACUGACCUUUAGAGCAUUUUUUUAAAGCAGCAAAACCAUGUCAUUUUAUUUUCUUUUUGUGUUUUAACCUUGGGAAAGAAGUCUCUUCCCAUUAUUGGAAGCUGAAUUGAAGACAUCCUGGAGGAUUGGCUGAGGCAAUUCCUGUUGAUUUGAGGAUAGCUACUCUCCACAAAGCCAAAAUCGAGAGGAGACGUCUGCCCUUCUGCCCUGGUCCUGCUCCACCCUCGACCCACCCGGGACCUUGCUGGGUGUGACGUCACGGAGGUGGACUGAGAGGAGGCUGCGGGGCUGGGCUCCCACUCCCACCCAGGCUGCGCCCGCGUGGCACGGUGACCUCUAAGUGCCCCUGCCCCAUUCCCAGACCAGCACUGCCCGUAGCCGUGGCUAGGCUUCAGUGCACUGUCUGCAUUUCAUGUGUUAGUAAUAGGAAAAAAAACUGGUUCAAGGGUUUGUGAAAAGAAGUGACAGAAGGAGGAGAAUGCUGUGCUUCGCCAAUAAGAUAGGGUUUGUCCCUUCUCUCCCUCAUCAGCUGACAGCUGCCUGCAGAGCCUCGCACUGGACUUGGAAGCCCCACAGGGGCAGCACACGGGGCUCCUGGCAGCUGUGCCUUGAGGUUCGGACCGGCGAGCAUAACUGACCGCUGUGUGCAGGGUUAAAGCUCCCUCCUGCUGUGCACUUCCUGGGUCCCUGGACACCCAGGCAGCCGGCAUCCAGCCCUGAUGACAACUCCCGAGCGCCUGAGGCCCCAGAGCCUGCCUGUUGGCUUUUUCAGAGACUUGGGAAACUAAGCCGCGCACGGAGGGGUUGCCAACUGGCUCCUGUCUGCAUGAUCCUCUGCUGUGUCCCGGUAUGGGUGGCCGUUUUGACCUGGGCUGGCAGCUGCUACUUGCUCUCUGCUCUCUGGUCAGUCAGGCUGUUGGACAUCCAGCCUCGGUUCUCUGGACACCCACCCCGAGGGGAGAUUUGCACGUCCACACAGAAUGAACCUGGCAAGGCUCUUGGCCUUACGGAGCUUCGGAUCAGAGGUGGAGAGAAGGCGCAGCCCCAUGCGUGGACAAGCACAAGCCUCUCAGCUGUGCAGGGAGGAGCGGGGCCAUGACCUUUUCCGGUGAGAACGGUGUAGGCAGUGUUCCUGUACAUGGGGUGAAAAGCCAGCAUGUCGCUUACUUGCAUCGGUUCUCCUCGGUUAUACAGUCCAGCUAAGCAUACCAUAGCAUCAGACUGCAUUUCGACGCAGGACUCACAGAACACUAAAAUCACAGCAGCACUGGGGACUUGGAACACCUCUCUCCGAAACAAGCCAAGUAGACCACCCACUAGCAAAGGUCCCCCCUGAUGUCCUUGAUGUGUACUGCUGUCAUGAGCUUCUCAUCUCCCUCACUGAGACUUUCUGCUGAUGUUGCUGGAUCAGGAGCCUGACGGGGAAUUUUUUCCAAACCACCCAGUUCUUGGAUUCUUCCAUGCCAAACAGGCAUCCAUCAAUUCAACUCAAUUCCAACACGAAGAGAGUGGAGUUAGCCCAGACCCUACAGUGUAAGGGCUCAGUCUAGGACACCGCCCUGGCCCCUCUUACCUCUGACUGACUAUAUAUCACACCAUCUCCUCCUCAUGUUUGAUAAUUUGCUUGAACAACACACAGAACUCAGGAAGUGCUUGUCUAAUACCAUGUGUUUAUUGUAAUGCACAUAAAUCAGGAAGUGCUUUGUGCCCUUAUAGAUGCAUUGCUUCACAAGACUCUGGCGUAUCCAGGAGUUGGGUACCCUCCAUACCCCAUUGUUUAGAUAUCCAUUACAUAGGCAUGACUCAUCAAAUUAUCGAUACUGUGACUGAUGCAAUCUCCAGCCCUUCUCCCCUCCCAGAAGGCUGGGUGUGGGGUGAACAUUGCAAAUUACGAUCAAGACUUCAUCAUUCUGACAAACAUUCCCUCUCCUGAUGACAUCUAGGGGCCACCAAAAAUUGUGUCAUUGGAAAAAAAGGCCAUUGUUAUUAUUCAGGAAAGCCCAAAGUUUUCACUAGUGCUGUUCCAGGAAUUAAGGGACGCGCCUAAUACCAUCCGCAAUACCACUGGCUAUGGUGCCAAUAGACAUGCCUGGAUGGCUGGAGACCCACCAGUUCCAGGACCUACGAUAACAUCUUGUCACUUCCUUUUCUCAGAUGGCUGGAGCGGUAACAGCAGCUCUUCACAGCCUCUCUGGAGAUGUCCAGUGAGACUGAGCCAUAGCCAGUUUGGCCAUGGGGGUCCUUGUGUCUGUCGCCUUCAUCCUCCCUCACCACCCUGCCUCCUGGUACUGCUGUCUCAGGGAGCGGCUACCGUCUCAUCUUUGCCUUGAGCUCUGUUUCUCUGGAACUUGGACUU